GGAGGGGUAGCGAAGUGGCUAAACCGCGGCGGCCGGAAAAUCCGCUCCUUCGGUUCGGCAGUUCGAAUCUGCCCCCCUCCACCA
rnacentral:tRNA from 1 species